rnacentral:tRNA from 1 species
GAACUGUAGCUCAAUGGUAGAGCCCUUCCCAAAAGGAAGUGGUUGCAGGUUCGAAUCCUGUCAGUUCCA